CCUACGGGGCGCUGCAGUGAGGAAUAUUGGUCAAUGGACGGAAGUCUGAACCAGCCAUGCCGCGUGCAGGAAGACGGUUCUAUGAGUUGUAAACUGCUUUUGUACAAGGGUAAACCUCAAUACGUGUAUUGAGCUGCGAGUACUGUACGAAUAAGGAUCGGCUAACUCCGUGCCAGCAGCCGCGGUAAUACGGAGGAUCCAAGCGUUAUCCGGAUUUAUUGGGUUUAAAGGGUGCGUAGGCGGAUUGAUAAGUUAGAGGUUAAAUGUCCGAGCUUAACUCGGGAACUGCCUUUAAGACUGUUGAUCGAGAGAGUACGUGAGGUAGGCGGAAUGUAUGGUGUAGCGGUGAAAUGCUUAGAGAUCAUACAGAACACCGAUUGCGAAGGCAGCUUACCAAUCUAUAUCUGACGUUGAGGCACGAAAGCGUGGGUAGCAAACAGGAUUAGAUACCCGUGUAGUC
rnacentral:rRNA from 1 species